rnacentral:rRNA from 1 species
GAUGAACGCUGGCGGCGUGCCUAAUACAUGCAAGUCGAGCGAACAGACGAGGAGCUUGCUCCUCUGACGUUAGCGGCGGACGGGUGAGUAACACGUGGAUAACCUACCUAUAAGACUGGGAGAACUUCGGGAAACCGGAGCUAAUACCGGAUAAUAUAUUGAACCGCAUGGAUCAAUAGUGAAAGACGGCUUUGCUGUCACUUAUAGAUGGAUCCGCGCCGCAUUAGCUAGUUGGUAAGGUAACGGCUUACCAAGGCAACGAUGCGUAGCCGACCUGAGAGGGUGAUCGGCCACACUGGAACUGAGACACGGUCCAGACUCCUACGGGAGGCAGCAGUAGGGAAUCUUCCGCAAUGGGCGAAAGCCUGACGGAGCAACGCCGCGUGAGUGAUGAAGGUCUUCGGAUCGUAAAACUCUGUUAUUAGGGAAGAACAAAUGUGUAAGUAACUAUGCACGUCUUGACGGUACCUAAUCAGAAAGCCACGGCUAACUACGUG